GACGUAGGGGGCCAGCGUUGCUCGGAAUUACUGGGUGUAAAGGGUUCGUAGGCGGUGUGGCAAGUCGGGAGUGAAAUCUCUGGGCUCAACCCAGAGUCUGCUUCCGAAACUGCUGUGCUUGAGUGUGGGAGAGGCGCGUGGAAUUGCAGGUGUAGCGGUGAAAUGCGUAGAUAUCUGCAGGAACACCCGUGGCGAAAGCGGCGCGUGGACCACUACU
rnacentral:rRNA from 1 species